CAUCGAUCGUCUGGCCCCCCGAAG
rnacentral:piRNA from 1 species